CCCUAGGUGAUGAUGAAGGUGAUCUCUUUAGUUCAUCUGACUUUUUAAUUUCUUCUGUUCUUUUAUAUAAAUUUUUUUCUCGUUGAGUUACUUUGUCAGUUCAUCAUUACUCUGAAUAACCUCAUUGUGUUCCAUCCUUCAGUAUAUGUUUUCUAUGCAGUUUGCUGUCAUUUCUCAGCUACUAGGUCCAUCACUCUCAAUCUCAUGUGGUUCAUAACCUAAAUCUCUGAUGUCCUGAAACUUUGAAUUGCUGGAGGUCAUGCUUUCAUGUUGCUGGCCAUCUUCAAGCCUUGCUGAACGAUAUCAAUGAAUCAAGAUGUGAAGAAACAGUAGCCUGACGUUAUGUAUUCAAUCAUAUCAUGGCAUUCUCCCAUUAGGCACAUGAUUAUGGGUGCAGGAUAAAUCUAAAUGUCAUCACAAGACAAGUACAACAGCAGUGACAAUUAACAAACCUUGUCCUAUCUAUGUGGUGGUCAUUUAAUAAUUAUGUAAAGAUGUGAGGUCAGACUUAACGAAGAGGCUGAAACAUGUAUUAUAUUAAAUUCUAUCCACCUUGUGGAAACAAGAAGCUGAUAUGUGGCUAUCAAGCAGCUCUACUUCAGAUGGGAUCCUUGACUUUGCUAUCAUCUACCAGAUUUUUUUUUUAUGGCAGGCGCAUUAAUUUUUUGAUGCGAACUAAGAUCAUAUGUGACUUGAACUGGACUUAGGCCUUUGGCAUUAAGCCAGGAGCAUACUUCUAUUAAUAUCACAACAUUAUCACUACCUUGUGAACUGAUUUUUAAAAAUCUUGUAUAUAUGUGGAUUUACAUGACCGAGUCUCAAAGUUUCAGGUACAUUUGUUUUGGGCUGCUGUAGUUACAGGAGUUGUUUUGUCAUCAUCCGGUAAUGAUUGGUUCAAGGCAGGAACCUAGCUAAAAUUCUUGUUAAGUUGGAUGCUAUUUUGCAAGAAAAUUAUUUCUUAUAGAUAUUUUUGCUGUAUUUGUAUUGAUUUUUUAUUUUUUAUGGUUGUUUGCUGCAUUAGUAUUUCAAUGGAGUUGCAACUUCUGUUCACACCGAACUUUCUUUAUGGACAUGAAGCACCCAAGAAGGGUCGCUAAACAGAGACAUCGACUUCUUUAAAAAUUGGUGGAAAUUUUGCAUUGCUGUCGCUGCAUGGGUGCAACUGAUGACUGCCAGCAUUGGAGAUGGGGAUCUGAUAUUUAAAAUUGGCAUUGUUGUCACUAGGUACAUCUACCUAAUAACUGUUCGCAUUAGGGACCGGGAUUUGAUGUUUGAAUAGUUAAAGAUAGAACGCUCUAUUUUUUUGCCUGAUGUUGAUAUGCUAGGG
rnacentral:lncRNA from 1 species